rnacentral:rRNA from 1 species
GACGAACGCUGGCGGCGUGCCUAAUACAUGCAAGUGGAACGCUGAAGGAGGAGCUUGCUUCUCUGGAUGAGUUGCGAACGGGUGAGUAACGCGUAGGUAACCUGCCUGGUAGCGGGGGAUAACUAUUGGAAACGAUAGCUAAUACCGCAUAAGAGUAGAUGUUGCAUGACAUUUGCUUAAAAGGUGCAAUUGCAUCACUACCAGAUGGACCUGCGUUGUAUUAGCUAGUUGGUGAGGUAACGGCUCACCAAGGCAACGAUACAUAGCCGACCUGAGAGGGUGAUCGGCCACACUGGGACGGAGACACGGCCCAGACUCCUACGGGAGGCAGCAGUAGGGAAUCUUCGGCAAUGGACGGAAGUCUGACCGAGCAACGCCGCGUGAGUGAAGAAGGUUUUCGGAUCGUAAAGCUCUGUUGUAAGAGAAGAACGAGUGUGAGAGUGGAAAGUUCACACUGUGACGGUAUCUGACCAGAAAGGGACGGCUAACUACGUG